UACGUAGGGGGCUAGCGUUGUCCGGAUUUAUUGGGCGUAAAGAGCGUGUAGGCGGCCAGGUAGGUCUGCUGUGAAAACUCGAGGCUCAACCUCGAGACGUCGGCGGAAACCAUCUGGCUAGAGUCCGGAAGAGGAGAGUGGAAUUCCUGGUGUAGCGGUGAAAUGCGUAGAGAUCGGGAAGAACACCAGUGGCGAAAGCGCUCUGCUGGACUGCAACUGACACUGAGGGACGAAAGCUAGGAGAGCGAAAGGG
rnacentral:rRNA from 1 species